GGGGCGGUUCCCGGAGCGGCAAACGGGCGGGAUUGUAAAUCCCUUGGCAUCGCGUCCUUCGUAGGUUCGAGUCCUACUCGCCCCA
rnacentral:tRNA from 1 species